rnacentral:rRNA from 1 species
UAGAGUUUGAUCCUGGCUCAGAGCGAACGCUGGCGGCAGGCCUAACACAUGCAAGUCGAGCGCCCAGCAAUGGGAGCGGCAGACGGGUGAGUAACACGUGGGGAUCUACCCAAUGGUACGGAAUAACCCAGGGAAACUUGGACUAAUACCGUAUGUGCCCUUCGGGGGAAAGAUUUAUCGCCAUUGGAUGAACCCGCGUCGGAUUAGCUUGUUGGUGAGGUAAAGGCUCACCAAGGCGACGAUCCGUAGCUGGUCUGAGAGGAUGAUCAGCCACACUGGGACUGAGACACGGCCCAGACUCCUACGGGAGGCAGCAGUGGGGAAUAUUGGACAAUGGGCGCAAGCCUGAUCCAGCCAUGCCGCGUGUGUGAUGAAGGCCUUAGGGUUGUAAAGCAC